AUAAAUCAUUUCAGUACCAAGGUUCGGUUUCAGAUCAUUUUCUGGCAGGAGGGAAACGACUGAAAUGUCUUAUAUUUUCCCAUGUGAAGGUGUUUCAGCUGGUAAUAGACACUGGAUGGGAUAAAAUCUAAGUAAUUUGAUACUCAUGAAUGUUCUCAACUCAUUUUAAGGCAUAUAAAACAUUUCAGUACCAAGAUUCGGCUUGAGAUCAUUUUCUGGCAGGAGGGAAACGACUGAAAUGUCUUAUAUUUUCCCAUGUGAAGGUGUUUCAGCUGGUAAUAGACACUGGAUGGGAUAUAAUCUAUGUAAUGUGAUACUCAUGAAUGUUAUCAACUCAUUUUAAGGCAUAUAAAACAUUUCAGUACCAAGAUUCGGCUUGAGAUCAUUUUCUGGCAGGAGGGAAACGACUGAAAUGUCUUAUAUUUGCCCAUGUGAAGGUGUUUCAGCUGGUAAUAGACACUGGAUGGGAUAUAAUCUAUGUAAUGGGAUGCUCAUGAAUGUUGUCAACUAAUUUUAAGGCAUAUAAAACAUUUCAGUACCAAGAUUCGGCUUGAGAUAAUUUUCUGGCAGGAGGGAAACGACUGAAAUGUCUUAUGUUUGCCCAUGUGAAG
ensembl:lncRNA